UACAGAGGGUGCUAGCGUUGUUCGGAAUCAUUGGGCGUAAAGGGCGUGUAGGCGGUUUGUUAAGUCAUGUGUGAAAUCCCUCGGCUCAACCGGGGAACGACGCAUGAAACUGGCAAGCUAGAGUACCAAAGAGGGGGGUGGAAUUCCCGGUGUAGCGGUGAAAUGCGCAGAUAUCAGGAGGAACACCAAUGGCGAAGGCAGGUCUCUGGGCCACAACUGACGCUGAGGAGCGAAAGCAUGGGGAGCGAACAGG
rnacentral:rRNA from 1 species